AAAAUAAUCCUACCCUUUGUGAAUUUUGUUUGUUUGAAUAAUUUUUUUUUAAAAAAUUAUUGGAGUCUUUCCCUUUAAGUUUGCUUUUGAGUUUGUAAAAGAAUUCGAAAACAUCUAAAGGGGAUGGUCAAUAAUUUUUUUGAAAAAAGACAUUUUUUAAAAUUAAACUUUUGUAUUCAUUUGUCUAAAAAUUAUUUUUAUAAUAUAAAAACAACUUUUGACAAUGGAUCUCUUGGUUCUCGCAACGAUGAAGAACGCAGCAAAAUGCGAUAAGUAGUGUGAAUUGCAGAAUACGUGAAUCAUCGAAUCUUUGAACGCAUAUUGCACUUUUUUAGUUUACUAAAAAAGUAUGUCUGUUUGAGUAUCAGUAAAAUAUUCUCAUAAAAUCAUUGUGUAUUUUUAUGGUUAUGAGUGUUUUACAACGAUACAAGUUGUUUCACUUUAAAUUUUUUUUUAAUAUUGAAAUUUUUCUAAUUUUAAUAAUUAAAAUUGGAUAAAAUUUUCCCGUCAAAGGAAUAACCUAAACAAUUUUAAAUGAUUAAUUUUAGCAAAAUUUUCGAAAAAAGGAAAAUUUUUAUUAAAAUAACUUGAUCUCAAAUCAGAUAAGAGUACCCGCUGAACUUAAGCAUAUCAAUAAGCGGAGGAAAGAAACUAACAAGGAUUCCCUUAGUAACGGCGAGUGAAGCGGGAAGAGCUCAAAUUUGAAAUCUUCAAGGUUUUACCUUGACGAAUUGUAGUUUAAAGAAGUGUUUUCUGCUGAAGUUUUGGUAAAAGUUCUUUGGAAUAGGACAUCAUAGAGGGUGAGAAUCCCGUAUUUGACCAUUAUUUUCAGCUUUGUGAUACACUUUCAAAGAGUCGGAUUGUUUGGGAAUGCAGUCCAAAAUGGGUGGUAAAUUUCAUCUAAAGCUAAAUAUUGGCGAGAGACCGAUAGCGAACAAGUACCGUGAGGGAAAGAUGAAAGAACUUUGAAAAGAGAGUUAAACAGUACGUGAAAUUGUCAAAAGGGAAGCGUUUGACACCAGUGUUGUUUUCUCGAAAAUCAAUUAAAAAUGGCUCGAUUUUGUAUUGCUGAGACCUUAAAAGCUCACUGUACAUUUUUCGUGUCUUUUUUAAUGCACUUUUCGUUUAACAAGUCAACAUCAGUCUCUUUUGUUGUAAAAGGGUCAUUGGAAGGUGGCUUUCUUUUCGGAGAAAGUGUUUAUAGCCUUUGGCCUCUGCAAUCGAAGAGACUGAGGUCUGCAGCGUAGACUCUUCGGGUUAGAUACAUUUGUGCUAAGUUAUAGCUUUUUAUAGACAACUUGUUGACUAUAAUUAGUCUUGUAGCUUACUCGCUUAUGCUAUUUUACCUACGCUUAGGAUG
rnacentral:misc_RNA from 1 species